rnacentral:rRNA from 1 species
CCUACGGGGGGCAGCAGUGGGGAAUAUUGCACAAUGGGGGAAACCCUGAUGCAGCAACGCCGCGUGAGUGAAGAAGUAUUUCGGUAUGUAAAGCUCUAUCAGCAGGGAAGAAGAUGACGGUACCUGAUUAAGAAGCCCCGGCUAACUACGUGCCAGCAGCCGCGGUAAUACGUAGGGGGCAAGCGUUAUCCGGAUUUACUGGGUGUAAAGGGAGCGCAGACGGCAGUGCAAGUCUGGAGUGAAAGCCCGGGGCCCAACCCCGGAACUGCUCUGGAAACUGUGCGGCUAGAGUACUGGAGGGGCAG